AUGCUUCUCCUAAAGACUAAGCCAUGCAUGCUCCGAAUAGAAGAGCUUUCUCUUUGAAUCUGCGAACGGCUCCGCAAACCAGUUGUAAACUAUAGUAAGCAAGCCUCGGGGGUGGACCGCAAGGUGCUCCCCGAGGUCGAAUAAGGAUAACCCUGGUAAUUCUGAGGCUAAUACGAGACUAGUACCACCCUAGCUUACAGGAAUGGAAAGUUGGGGGAGCGUGCGGGUUCGAAUGCAAAGAAUGCUGGGAAUAGACGCAUGCUCUGACCACUAAACUAAACAGUGGCUUGUAGCCUUAGGGCGAAGGCUUCCUGGGUGGCUCUUACGGUGUGCUUCUGACCUAUCAACUAGACGGCAGCGUAACGGACAUGCCAUGGUGACAACGGGUACAGAGGAUAAGGGUUCGAUCCUGGAGAGUGGGCCUGAGAGAUUGCUCACACUUCUAAGGAAGGCAGCAGGCGCGCAACGUUCCCCUUGGGCAAAGCUCGAGGGCGUUAGGGGACAUAUGAAUGUCCGCCUCAUGGUGGACAANUCAAAUGGGACUGUUGUAAAACAGCCUA
rnacentral:rRNA from 1 species